UACGGGGGGAGCAAGCGUUGUUCGGAUUUACUGGGCGUAACGGGCGCGUAGGCGGUCAGCACAAGUCAGUUGUGAAAUCUCCGGGCUUAACUCGGAAAGGUCAACUGAUACUGUGCGACUAGAGUGCAGAAGGGGCAACUGGGAAUUCGUCGGUGUAGCGGUGAAAUGCGUAGAUAUCGAGAGGAACACCUGCGGCGAAGGCGGGUUGCUGGGCUGACACUGACGCUGAUGCGCGAAAGCCAGGGGAGCGAACGGG
rnacentral:rRNA from 1 species